rnacentral:snoRNA from 1 species
AGCACUAUUUUUAAACCUGUGGAUGGGAAUUUUCCCCAUUCUUGGUUACGCUGUAGUGCAAAAGAAUUCCUGGCUCUUUGUUGCACAGCGGACUUGUGCCAUUUUGCUGUUGCUUUAUGGAGUUAAGGAACAUGG